UCCCUGGUGGCUCAGAGGGUAAAGAAUCUGCCUGCAAUGCAGGGGACCCAGGUUUGAUCCCUGGGUCGGGAA
rnacentral:tRNA from 1 species